GCGUCGAUGGUCGAGAAUCGCGGCAUCGAGGCGUGGUUCACCGCCACGCACGAGGACUUCGGCGUCGACGCUACGAAGUACCGCAAGCUCACCGACACGCUCGACGUCUGGUUCGAUUCCGGCUCGACGCACCA
rnacentral:tRNA from 1 species